GGAUGAUUGGGCUGAAGUCGUAACAAGGUAGCUGUAGAUGAACCUGCAGAAGGAUCA
rnacentral:rRNA from 1 species